UCCAUGUGUAGCGGUAAAAUGCGUAGAUAUAUGGAAGAACACCAGUGGCGAAGGCGGCCGCCUGGCCUGUUGCUGACGCUGAGGCACGAAAGCGUGGGGAGCAAAUAGGAUUAGAUACCCUAGUAGUCCACGCCGUAAACGAUGAGGACCAAGUGUUGGGGGUGAAACCUCAGUGCUGAAGUUAACGCAGUGAGUCCUCCGCCUGGGGAGUAUGCACGCAAGUGUGAAACUCAAAGGAAUUGACGGGGGCCCGCACAAGCGGUGGAGUAUGUGGUUUAAUUCGAAGCAACGCGAAGAACCUUACCAGGCCUUGACAUGGGAUGCGAAGACGCAGAGAUGCGUUGGAGGUCAACAUCCACACAGGUGGUGCAUGGUUGUCGUCAGCUCGUGUCGUGAGAUGUUGGGUCAAGUCCCGCAACGAGCGCAACCCUUGUGGCAUGUUGCUAACAGGAAAGCUGAGGACUCAUGCCAGACUGCCGGUGACAAACCGGAGGAAGGCGGGGAUGACGUCAAAUCAUCAUGCCCCUUAUGGCCUGGGCUACACACGUACUACAAUGGCGGCUACAAAGAGCGGCGAGACAGUAAUGUCGAGCGAAUCUCAUAAAAGCCGUCCCAGUUCGGAUUGGAGCCUGCAACCCGGCUCCAUGAAGUUGGAAUCGCUAGUAAUCGCGGAUCAGCAUGCCGCGGUGAAUACGUUCCCGGGCCUUGUACACACCGCCCGUCAAG
rnacentral:rRNA from 1 species